rnacentral:rRNA from 1 species
GCCUAACACAUGCAAGUCGAGCGGCAGCGCGAUAUGUAGCAAUACAUAUUGGCGGCGAGCGGCGGACGGGUGAGGAACACGUAGGAACCUACCCUCGAGUGGGGGAUAAGCAAGGGAAACUUUGGCUAAUACCGCAUGAACUCGAGAGAGCAAAGCUGCCGCAAGGGGGCGCUCGAGGAGGGGCCUGCGUCCGAUUGGCUAGUUGGUGAGGUAAGAGCUCACCAAGGGGAUGAUCGGUAACUGGUCUGAGAGGACGACCGGUCACACGGGGACUGAGAAACGGGCCAGACUCCUAGGGGAGGCAGGAGUGGGGAAUAUUGGACAAUGGGGGCAACCCUGAUCCAGGGAUGCCGCGUGAGUGAAGAAGGCCUUCGGGUCGUAAAGCUCUUUAGGUUGGGAAGAAGGGUGAUGGAGGAAAUGCUAUCACUUUGGCGGUACCGACAGAAUAAGCACCGGCAAACUCUGUGCCAGCAGCCGCAGUAAAAC